GAUUGGAAAAGAGCAGGGACAGAACGCGGAGGGAUCGGAGGAGGCGGGGAUAAAACCUAGGGCCAGAACACCCAGUUCAGGGAGGGAGGAGGCGCCCGCGAGGUGUCUCUGGGUUUCAGGAUAACAGCCAAAGACGGUUGAUCAGUUUGUGGACUCAUUACACGGGGACUGGAUGUAUGUACAUGGGAAACUGGGUACUGGACUCAAACUGGGGGAAGGAGGUGUAUAUGGAAUUGACCUCAGGAACCGCAGCUGCUGACCUCUGACCGGUGGGCCCAGGGAACAUGGCUGAGGCACACCAGGCCUCGAGCUUGCUGUCUUCACUGAGUUCCGAUGGGGCAGAAGUAGAGCUCAGCUCGCCAGUGUGGCAGGAAAUUUACCUCUGUGCCCUGCGCUCCUGGAAAAGGCAUCUCUGGCGUGUCUGGAAUGACUUUCUUGCUGGUGUGGUCCCUGCAACCCCCCUCAGCUGGCUCUUCCUCUUCAGUACAAUCCAGCUUGCCUGUCUCCUCCAGCUGGACCCUUCCCUAGGACUGAUGGAGAAGAUUAAAGAGUUACUGCCAGACUGGGGCGGACAGCACCAUCAGCUCCAGGGGUUCUUGUCAGCAGCAGUUUUUGCAUCUUGUUUGUGGGGAGCCCUCAUCUUCACCCUUCAUGUGGCUCUGAGGCUCCUUCUGUCCCACCAUGGCUGGCUUCUGGAACCUCAUGGCGCCAUGUCCUCACCCACGAAGACCUGGCUGGCAUUGGUCAGAAUCUUUUCCGGGAGGCACCCGAGGCUCUUCAGCUUCCAACGCGCGCUCCCGCGACAGCCAGUGCCCUCGGCGCAGGAGACCGUGCGCAAGUACCUAGAGUCUGUACGCCCUGUGCUCGGAGACGACGCUUUCGACCGCGCUACAGCGCUGGCAAAUGACUUCCUGAGGUUGCACGCACCACGGCUACAGCUCUAUUUGCAACUCAAGUCCUGGUGUACUUCCAACUACGUCAGCGACUGGUGGGAAGAGUUUGUGUACCUGCGCUCUCGAGGCUCACUGAUUAAUAGCACCUACUACAUGAUGCAGGAUUUUCUGUACGUCACCCCCACACCGCUGCAGGCAGCCCGCGCGGGCAAUGCUGUGCAUACCCUGCUCCUGUAUCGCCACCUGCUGAACCGGCAGGAGAUCUCACCGACAUUGCUGAUGGGGAUGCGACCCUUGUGUUCCGCCCAGUAUGAGAGGAUGUUCAACACUACACGGAUUCCAGGGGUGGAAAAAGACCACCUUCGUCACCUUCAAGACAGCCGACACGUGGCUGUCUUCCACCGGGGCAGAUUCUUCCGUGUAGGGACUCACUCUCCCAAUGGCCUGCUUUCCCCACGGGCCCUGGAACAGCAGUUCCAGGACAUCCUGGAUGACCCCUCCCCAGCCUGUCCCCUUGAGGAACACCUAGCUGCUCUGACUGCUGCUCCCAGGAGUAUGUGGGCUCAGGUGCGGGAGUCGGUGAAGACCCACGCAGCCACCGCCCUGGAGGCUGUGGAAGGGGCUGCCUUCUUUGUGUCCCUCGAUUCUGAGCCCGCGGGACUGACCAGAGAGGACCCCGCAGCUUCCCUGGACGCUUAUGCCCACGCUCUGCUGGCUGGCCGAGGCCAUGACCGCUGGUUUGACAAAUCCUUCACCCUCAUCGUCUUCUCCAAUGGGAAGCUGGGCCUCAGCGUGGAACACUCAUGGGCCGACUGCCCUGUCUCAGGGCAUUUGUGGGAGUUCACCCUGGCCACAGAGUGCUUCCAGUUGGGUUAUGCCACAGAUGGCCACUGUAAGGGGCACCCUGACCCUACCCUGCCACAGCCCCAGCGCCUGCAGUGGGACCUUCCAGAGCAGAUCCAGCCGUCCAUCUCGCUGGCCCUGAGGGGAGCCAAGACCUUGUCUGGCAACAUCGACUGCCACGUCUUCCCCUUCUCCCACUUCGGCAAGAGCUUCAUCAAAUGCUGUCAUGUCUCUUCAGACAGCUUCAUCCAGUUGGUCCUGCAGCUGGCCCACUUCCGGGACAGGGGUCAAUUCUGCCUGACUUAUGAGUCAGCCAUGACCCGACUGUUCCUGGAAGGCAGGACAGAGACAGUGAGGUCUUGCACCAGAGAAGCCUGCCAGUUUGUGAGAGCCAUGGACAACAAGGAGACAGACCAACAUUGCCUCGCCCUGUUCCGAGUGGCCGUGGACAAGCACCAGGCUCUACUGAAGGCGGCGAUGAGUGGCCAGGGGAUUGACCGUCACCUCUUUGCACUGUACAUCAUGUCCCGGCUCCUCCAUAUGCAGUCGCCCUUCCUGACCCAGGUCCAGUCGCAGCAAUGGCUGCUGUCCACCAGCCAGGUCCCUGUGCAGCAGACACACCUGAUUGAUGUCCACAAUUAUCCGGAUUACGUUUCCUCUGGAGGUGGAUUUGGGCCUGCCCAUGACCAUGGGUAUGGUAUCUCCUACAUCUUCAUGGGGGAAAACGCAAUCACCUUCCAUAUCUCCAGCAAGAAAUCAAGCACAGAAACAGACUCUCACCGGCUGGGGCAGCACAUCGAAAAUGCCCUGUUGGAUGUAGCCUCCCUGUUCCGGGUUGGACAGCAUUUCAAGCGCCAGUUCAGGGGGGAGAAUUCGGAUUAUAGAUACAACUUUCUCUCCUGUAAGACUGUGGACCCCAAUACCCCUACAUCCUCCACCAACUUGUGAGCCCCUCAGCAGGGAGCUGGUCUCCCUCAGGAUGGAAGGUGUUGCUCCCAGGGCUUGGCUGGCGCAGACAGGGGUAUCGGGGAUUCCCACACCCACCUGGUAAUAAAGAUCCCGCACUACCACCUGAGCAGGCUCCAUCCCAAACUCCCUGGCCAGACCUGAUCAGUCAGCUUCUCACAAUCAGGCACCUCAUUCCUGUCACCCAACACCAAAGGUCCGUCAGACCAUCUCCACACUGAGGUCUGGACAGCAAUUCUAUCCUGCGAGGAGAAAGGAUCGAGGCAGGGUGUCCUGUAGUUCAGGCAGGCUGCUCUGGAACUUCCUAUGUAGCCACACUCUUGAUUCUCCUGUGUCUGCUUGGAUGAUGGACUAUACCACUGAUUGCUGGGUCAUUUUACUGCCUCAUCUGCAAAAUGGGUGAAGGACUCUUCUAGGACUUGGGGGACUGAGGGCCAGCAAAACUCCAGGACCCUCUGUCACACAGCCUCGGGGACAUGGUCUCUUCCUCUUCUGCUCCUCCUUCCUCCUCCUCUUUGUUCUUUCCAUUCCCCCCUUCCCUUUCUCGCGGUUUAAAGUUUGUUUUUUGUAUUUUA